AAAAGAACCUCUUUUUUCUAAUUGGUAGGACAGAUUCUUUUAUGAUUCCUAAAGUGGAAGAAAUAAAAUAUCUGUGCUACGUUAUUUUUUUUGGAUUGAAAAUUUUAAUCCUCAGUGAACCAGGGCAAAAAAGAAUGAUGAAAUCCUUGAGAGUUUUACUGGUGAUCCUGUGGCUUCAGUUAAGCUGGGUUUGGAGCCAACAGAAGGAGGUGGAGCAGGAUCCUGGACCCUUCAGUGUUCCAGAGGGAGCCACUGUCACUUUCAACUGCACUUACAGCAACAGUGCCUCCCAGUCUUUCUUCUGGUACAGACAGGAUUCCAGGAAAGAACCUAAGUUGCUGAUGUCCGCAUACUCCAGUGGUAACGAAGAUGGAAGGUUUACAGCACAGCUCAAUAGAGCCAGCCAGUAUAUUUCCCUGCUCAUCAGAGACUCCCAGCUCAGUGAUUCAGCCACCUACCUCUGUGCAGUGUAUACACAGUGCUCCCCAGACACCUGCAGUCUGUACCCAAACCUGCUGUGCCCCAGGAAUGCCUGA